AGAGAUUCGAUCACGGAGGAAAGCAAAACUAUAUCUUCUAGAAGAAGAAAAGAAAGCUAGGGAAUUGUUGGAUAAAAACAAGGAAAUAGGCCAAGGAGAAGGAUUUUCAUCUCCUUCUGAUAAAAACAAAGGGAAAGAAAUUGUAUUAUAUUCACCACCGCUUUCGACAGAGAGAAAUGACUAUCGGCAGGAAGUGCACAUGUUGGAAAACUCAACCUCUACAUAUGAUGGUCGACAUACUCAAUCGAAUUUUGAACAUGAUAUCUCAACAUCAAGACGCAAAAACUGGAAAAACAUGGCAAGAAAUGCUUGCAAGGAUUUUGAUUGUGAGAUCAACAAAGAUGACUCUGCGAUAGGGAACACAUCAAGACGCAAACGACAGAAGAACAUGGCAAGAAAUGUUUGAAAGGAUUCUAAUUUUGAAAUCAAUAAAAGCCAUUCUACAAGGGAGUGCAAAAUAAUGCCAUUCUACAGAGAUGAUUACAAAUGAGGUUGAUGCUGAAAUGGCUAUGGCGGAUAACCCUAAUUAGCCAUGCAAUAAAUGUUAGUUUUUCCUUGAAACUGUGGGGGGUUAGGGAACUGACCCAACGGUUCAAAUCCUGCAAUCCUUUUAAAGUUGUAUUUCUUUAUGAGAUUACAAGCUUCAAAUGAAUAAAAUUCGGAAAUUUGGUUU